rnacentral:rRNA from 1 species
GGGUUGUGAGGUUAAGCGACUAAGCGUACACGGUGGAUGCCCUGGCAGUCAGAGGCGAUGAAGGACGUGCUAAUCUGCGAUAAGCGUCGGUAAGGUGAUAUGAACCGUUAUAACCGGCGAUUUCCGAAUGGGGAAACCCAGUGUGUUUCGACACACUAUCAUUAACUGAAUCCAUAGGUUAAUGAGGCGAACCGGGGGAACUGAAACAUCUAAGUACCCCGAGGAAAAGAAAUCAACCGAGAUUCCCCCAGUAGCGGCGAGCGAACGGGGAGCAGCCC